CCUACGGGAGGCAGCAGUGAGGAAUAUUGGUCAAUGGGCUUACGCCUGAACCAGCCAAGUCGCGUGAGGGAAGACUGCCCUAUGGGUUGUAAACCUCUUUUGUCAGGGAGCAAUUGGCGCUACGUGUAGCGUUAUCGAGAGUACCUGAAGAAAAAGCAUCGGCUAACUCCGUGCCAGCAGCCGCGGUAAUACGGAGGAUGCGAGCGUUAUCCGGAUUUAUUGGGUUUAAAGGGUGCGUAGGCGGAAUGCCAAGUCAGCGGUAAAAUCGCGGGGCUCAACCUCGCUCCGCCGUUGAAACUGGCGGUCUUGAGUGGGCGAGAAGUAUGUGGAAUGCGUGGUGUAGCGGUGAAAUGCAUAGAUAUCACGCAGAACUCCGAUUGCGAAGGCAGCAUACCGGCGCCCAACUGACGCUGAAGCACGAAAGCGUGGGUAUCGAACAGGAUUAGAUACCCUAGUAGUC
rnacentral:rRNA from 1 species